rnacentral:rRNA from 1 species
CCUACGGGCGGCAGCAGUAGGGGAUCUUGCACAAUGGGGGGAACCCUGAUGCAGCGACGCCGCGUGAGUGAAGGAGUGCUUCGGCAUGUAAAGCCCUAUCGGCAGGGAAGAAGCAAGACGGUACCUGACUACGAAGCCCCGGCUAUCUACGGGCCAGAAGCCGCGGUAAUCCGUAGGCGGCCAGCGUUGGCCGUAUUUACUGGGCGAAAGGGGCGCGGAGACGGCCAAGCAAGCCCGAGGUGAAGGCCCGGGGUCCAACCGCGGUAGUGCCCUGGAAACUGCCUGGCUGGAGUGCGGGAGGGGAAGGUGGAAUUCCUGGUGUAGCGGUGAAAUGCGUAGAGAUCAGGAGGAACACCGGCGGCGAAGGCGGCCUGCUGGACCGCGACUGACGUUGAGGCGCGAAAGCGUGGGGAGCGAACAGGAUUAGAUACCCUGGUAGUC